rnacentral:misc_RNA from 1 species
UAUUCAGCAAGUAAUGACUUCGUUGAAGCAGCAUUUUCUAUUUAAUUCUGUGUCUCCAGUCUCGGGUGAGCAUAAGAGAAACAAUUUUUGGAGGAAAAAAGAAAGAGAAAAAGCAAGAAUGGGUUUGAUCAAUUAGCUGUCUUCUUUGUUGAUAAUAGGUGUUGGGACUAAAACCGAAUCNNNNNNNNNNAUCCAAAUCUAGGGACAUGGAUGACUUCCCUUCGCGGAAAAACUUAGUGGAAGAAGGUACGGGUGGAAGUGGCGUGCCAUUUAAUUGGAGGGAAUGGUGGGAAGGUGAGGAAAUUUGAUGAGCCUGCAAUGCCAUAGUAGCAUGAUGAUGUGGAGGUAUUGAUCUGGCUGAGGACAAUUGGUCACAUUCUUCAGAAUCCGUGAUGGGGCAAUCCAUGUUUACACCAAACAGCCUCAGCCUCUUCGCUGCAGCUUUCCCUUGGACCACCGGCACCGACUCAUACACCAUUGGCUCCACGAACCCACCAGCUCCUUGUUGC